rnacentral:rRNA from 1 species
UACGUAGGCAGCAAGCGUUGUUCGGAAUUACUGGGCGUAAAGAGUGUGUAGGCGGGCUUUUAAGUCAGUGGUGAAAUCUCCGGGCUCAACCUGGAAACUGCCAUUGAUACUAUUAGUCUUGAAUUUUGUUGAGGUAGGCGGAAUAAGUCAUGUAGCGGUGAAAUGCAUAGAUAUGACUUAGAACACCAAUUGCGAAGGCAGCUUGCUAAACAAAUAUUGACGCUGAGGCACGAAAGCGUGGGGAUCAAACAGG